CCCAUGAAAUGGGAAUGAAUACAGUCUAAAGGUUUUCCUCCCCUCCAUCACAGAAUGGAAACAGGUGGUUGCUUGUCCACACUGGCCCCAACCCCAACCUGCUCUCUGGCUCUGUGUUAACAAUGCUCCACAACUCCUCGGCUGCUUGGAUGAUGUGGAUUAGUGCACCAUGUCUGAAGGGAUCUGCCUGUGAGUUGGGGGCAGCCAUGGACUGGGCUCUGGAGUCUCAGAGGGAAAUUUACAACAUGGCCUUCAGCUGCUUAUUCUCAUCUCAGACAAUACGAAAGAGACCAGCUAAUUUCUCGAGGAGGCCACACAGCAACCUGGGGGCACAGCCCAAUAGCCCCUCACUUCAUACCUGAAUCUCCCAGGUUUCCUCCUGAGGCUGAAACACAGGCAAUCCAGAAGAUUGAUGGGGGAACUGACACCUUGUAUGGAAAAGAAAGAAAAGCCUGGAGCCAGAGAAUAAAGGCUUCUUCCUUCCCAUUCCAGAAUGAACUGUCCUGUGCUGCAGAUAUUUCAAUGAUUUCAUGGAAAGCAGUUCUGCAAGUUCAGGUUUAAUGAAUAUCUGGAUGAAUGAGAAACCCUCACAUGGGCUGAUCAUUUUCCUCUAUCUCAUUCUUCUUUUCCCUCACUUUUGUUUUCCCAGGAUUGCACUAACGAAAAGGGAACAUGGAAGUCAUUGUCUUGGGCUCUCACUUCUGAGAGACCCAGGCUAAGACAGGCAGAAACCAGGACAGAGUUGUUAAACAAGUAGUUAUUGCUUUGCUUUCAAUGCUAAAUGUCCCCAGAAGCUCAAAUGUUGAAGAAUUGGUCCCCAGGUAUUGGUGCCUUGGGGUGGUGGUGACAACUUUAGGAGUUGGGGCCUGGUGGAAUGCUAUUAGGUCACUGGGGGUUGUGCCUGUGAAAGAGAUGUUGGUGAAUCGGUUUCCUCCACCACACACUUCUGCCACAGUGUACUGAUUUGCCCCAGGCCUGAAAGCAAUGGGGGCCAAGCAACCAAGGACUGAGAACUAUGAGCCAAAAUAAACCUUUCCUGUUUUUAA